UGAUUCCUCACUGUUCCGCCAUCGUGGGCAGUGGCCUCCUCCACCGGCUAUGACUGCAGGGAAAAGGUCAAACUGAAGCCAUUUCAUCACAGGGCCUUCUGCCUCCUUAAGAUUGUGAAGAUUUAAUGCUGUAAUCCGGCUCCUAGAAGGAAAUGUAAUACAUCAGCAGCUCCUGAUAUAAGAAGGACAAUUUGCCCAGGAGGAAAUGCGCUCAUGGAUAGAAGCUGAUUUUCAUAGGCUCGCUGAUGUCUGCAAGGAUUCCCGUCUCCUAGGGCCUUUCAUCAACAAGAAGAGGCACAUUUUUCUUUCCCCAAUCAAGACAGACUUUUCAUGGCAGACCAAUUCGGCAGUAUUCUUCCUAGAAGCUCAGUCUGAGGUACUUUUUCAUCCUCCUCAAAAUUGUUUGGCCAUUUAACAUAUUUGUAUAAAUCCCUUUGCUGAAAUUUGUAAAGUAGAUUCUGAUCUUUGCAAGUGAAUGUAACUAACACAACUGUAUCUGGCAGGUGCUCCCUGUGUUAGAGUGGUUAGAAUUUAUAAAAACAUCAUAAGAGGGGAAAGUACCAAAUCUUUCUUUAACAUAAAAUACUUUUGC
rnacentral:lncRNA from 1 species